AGAGUUUGAUCCUGGCUCAGGACGAACGCUGGCGGCGUGCCUAAUACAUGCAAGUAGAACGCUGAAGAGAGGAGCUUGCUCUUCUUGGAUGAGUUGCGAACGGGUGAGUAACGCGUAGGUAACCUGCCUUGUAGCGGGGGAUAACUAUUGGAAACGAUAACUAAUACCGCGCAACAAUGGAUGACACAUGUCAUUUAUUUGAAAGGGGCAAUUGCUCCACUACAAGAUGGACCUGCGUUGUAUUAGCUAGUAGGUGAGGUAACGGCUCACCUAGGCGACGAUACAUAGCCGACCUGAGAGGGUGAUCGGCCACACUGGGACUGAGACACGGCCCAGACUCCUACGGGAGGCAGCAGAAGGG
rnacentral:rRNA from 1 species